UACGUAGGGGACGAGCGUUGUCCGGAAUUACUGGGCGUAAAGGGCGCGCAGGCGGAUAUUUAAGUCAGCUGUUAAAGUCAUGGGCUCAACUCAUGGAUGCGGUUGAAACUGGGUAUCUAGAGUGCUGGAGAGGUAGGCGGAAUUCCCGGUGUAGCGGUGAAAUGCGUAGAUAUCGGGAAGAACACCAGUGGCGAAGGCGGCUUACUGGCCAGCAACUGACGCUGAGGCGCGAAAGCCAGGGGAGCGAACGGAAUUAGAUACCCCCGUA
rnacentral:rRNA from 1 species